rnacentral:tRNA from 1 species
GCCCUCGGUGGCUCAGAUGGCUAGAGCGUCUGCCAUGUAAGCAGGAGAUCCUGGGUUCGAGUCCCGGUCAGGGCA